rnacentral:misc_RNA from 1 species
UUGGGCUUGGCUCGGCUGAUGAUGUUUAUGGCUCGAGCUGGUAUCGGCUUCAUUGAUGGAUCACGAGGCACUGGCGUGGCAAAUGCUGGGUUGGUUUAUUUCAACGGUCGAUUAUUGGCCCUGUCGGAGGAUGAUCUUCCUUACCAUGUAAAGAUCAGGAGCGAUGGCGAUCUAGAAACGAUCGGACGGUUCAGUUUUCGUGAUCAACUUGAUUGUCCUUUGAUUGCACACCCUAAAGUGGACCCCAUAACCGGUGAGCUGCAUGCACUGAGUUACAACGUAAUAAAGAAACCGUACUUAAAAUACUUCAAGUUUGACAGGUGCGGGAAAAAGUCACGUGACCUGAACAUUGACUUAGAUCAGCCAACAAUGAUCCACGACUUCGCCAUCACACGAAAUUUUGUAGUAA